UACGUAGGGUGCGAGCGUUGUCCGGAAUUACUGGGCGUAAAGAGCUUGUAGGUGGCUCGUCGCGUCGGGAGUGAAAACCCGCGGCUUAACCGCGGGCCUGCUUUCGAUACGGGCGGGCUAGAGUUCGGCAGGGGAAGCUGGAAUUCCUGGUGUAGCGGUGGAAUGCGCAGAUAUCAGGAGGAACACCGGUGGCGAAGGCGGGUCUCUGGGCCGAUACUGACACCGAGAAGCGAAAGCGUGGGGAGCGAACAGG
rnacentral:rRNA from 1 species